CAGCCGCCGCGGUAAUACGAAGGGGGCUAGCGUUGUUCGGAAUGACUGGGCGUAAAGGGCGCGUAGGUGGUUAUGUAAGUGAGAUGUGAAAUCCCCGGGCUCAACCUGGAACUGCAUCUUAUACUGCGUAGCUGGAGUGCAGUAGAGGGUAGUGGAAUUUCCGGUGUAGCGGUGAAAUGCGUAGAUAUCGGAAGGAACACCAGUGGCGAAGGCGGCUACCUGGACUGACACUGACACUGAGGCGCGAAAGCGUGGGGAGCAAACAGGAUUAGAUACCCCUGUAGUCCCUGUCUCUUAUACA
rnacentral:rRNA from 1 species